rnacentral:lncRNA from 1 species
ACGCAGAUAAAAAAGCAGACCAUGACUUUGUUAGUGCGACUGCUCUUCUUUUUCCGCGUUAAUAAAAAAAAGAUAUACUCUCACUGCCUGCACCAUCAGUAAACAACUUCUUAUCUUAUCAUACAAUCUUAUCAUACAAUCUUAUCACAUCGAUCAACUAUAUAGAAAUCAAUUAGAGACGUGUCCAGUUUAGUCUAAUCUAUAUGUUUGCCAAUUUGUCAACACACACAAAAACUGAGACUAACUUAAAUUUUGUGAUUGGAGAUUGUAUUACGUACGUCGCAUUCAAAAAUAUUUCACAAUCUUUGAUUUUUCAACAAAAAUACAUCGGAAUCA